rnacentral:rRNA from 1 species
GGGAGGGGAGUGAAAUAGAACCUGAAACCGUAUGCGUACAAGCAGUGGGAGCUCUUCGGAGUGACUGCGUACCUUUUGUAUAAUGGGUCAGCGACUUACAUUCUGUGGCAAGGUUAACCGCAUAGGGUAGCCGUAGGGAAACCGAGUCUUAAUAGGGCGCCUCUCUUCGGAGAAAACAGUCGCAGGGUGUAGACCCGAAACCGGGCGAUCUAGCCAUGAGCAGGUUGAAGACCAGGUAACACUGGUUGGAGGACCGAACCCACCGUCGUUGAAAAGCCGGGGGAUGACUUGUGGCUAGGAGUGAAAGGCUAAUCAAGCCCGGAGAUAGCUGGUUCUCCUCGAAAGCUAUUUAGGUAGCGCCUCGUGUCUCACCAUUGGGGGUAGAGCACUGUUUCGGCUAGGGGGUCAUCCCGACUUACCAACCCUUUGCAAACUCCGAAUACCAAUGAGUACUAUCCGGGAGACAGACUGCGGGUGCUAACGUCCGUAGUCAAGAGGAAAACAAUCCAGACCGCCAGCUAAGGCCCCAAAAUUAUAGUUAAGUGGGAAACGAUGUGGGAAGGCUUAGACAGCUAGGAGGUUGGCUUAGAAGCAGCCAUCCUUUAAAGAAAGCGUAACAGCUCACUGGUCUAAAUAAGGGUCUCUGCGCCGAAGAUGUAACGGGGCUUAAGCCAUGCACCGAAGCUGCGGGUGUGUAGCAAUACACGCGGUAGCGGAGCGUUCCGUAAGCUGAUGAAGCGGUACCUGCGAAGGGCCGUGGAGGUAUCGGAAGUGCAAAUGCUGACAUGAGUAACGAUAAAGGGGGUGAAAAACCCCCUCGCCGAAAGACCAAGGUUUCCUGUCCCAUGCUAAUCAGGGCAGGGUAAGUCGGCCCCUAAGGCGAGGCAGAAAUGCGUAGUCGAUGGGAAACGGGUUAAUAUUCCCGUACUUGGAAUAAUUGCGAUGGGGGGACGGAGCAGGCUAAACAAGCAUGGCGUUGGUUGUCCAUGUGAAAGUGAGUAGGUUGAGAGUUUAGGAAAAUCCGGACUCUUAAGACUGAGACACGAGACGAGCACCCAAGGGUGUGAAGUUGUUGAUGCCAUACUUCCAGGAAAAGCCUCUAAGCUUCAGAUUAUACCGAAUCGUACCCCAAACCGACACAGGUGGUCAGGUAGAGAAUACUAAGGCGCUUGAGAGAACUCGGGUGAAGGAACUAGGCAAAAUGGUACCGUAACUUCGGGAGAAGGUACGCUGUUGUUGGUGAUGAGACUUGCUCUCUAAGCUGACGACAGCCGCAGUGACCAGGUGGCUGGGACUGUUUAUUAAAAACACAGCACUGUGCAAAAUCGCAAGAUGACGUAUACGGUGUGACGCCUGCCCGGUGCCGGAAGGUUAAUUGAUGGGGUUAGCGUAAGCGAAGCUCUUGAUCGAAGCCCCGGUAAACGGCGGCCGUAACAAUAACGGUCCUAAGGUAGCGAAAUUCCUUGUCGGGUAAGUUCCGACCUGCACGAAUGGCGUAACGACUUCCCCGCUGUCUCCAACAUCGACUCAGCGAAAUUGAAUUGCCUGUCAAGAUGCAGGCUUCCCGCGGUUAGACGGAAAGACCCCGUGCACCUUUACUACAGCUUCACACUGGCAUCAGGCCAAGCAUGUGCAGGAUAGGUGGUAGGCUUCGAAGCAGGGACGCCAGUUCCUGUGGAGCCUCCCUUGAGAUACCACCCUUGUUCUGCUUGAUGUCUAACCGCGGUCCGUUAUCCGGAUCCGGGACCCUGUGUGGCGGGUAGUUUGACUGGGGCGGUCGCCUCCUAAAAAGUAACGGAGGC